GCGUUCGUGGUGUAAUGGCUAGCAUGGAUGCCUUCCAAGCAUUCGACGGGGGUUCGAUUCCACCCCCCCCCCCCUGCGAGUGGG